rnacentral:rRNA from 1 species
UACAGAGGGGGCAAGCGUUAUUCGGAAUUAUUGGGCGUAAAGGGCGCGUAGGCGGUUUUUUAAGUCGGAUGUGCAAUCCCCGAGCUCAACUUGGGAACUGCAUCCGAGACUGGAAGGCUAGAGUACUGGAGAGGUUGGUGGAAUUCCACGUGUAGCGGUGAAAUGCGUAGAGAUGUGGAGGAACACCAGUGGCGAAGGCGGCUCACUGGCCCGAUACUGACGCUGAGGCACGAAAGCGUGGGGAGCAAACAGGAUUAGAUACCCCAGUAGU